AUGCGUCGUCUCCAAGCUACAGUACUACCUGCCGCUCUCGGCUCCAUCGGCAACUUGCUCCGGCCCCUCAAACACGGCUACGGCUUCCUCUGCUCCGACCUCGAGAGGGUGGUCAAGCCCAAUGUCAAGCUCCUAGCAGAGUGCGGGCUAGGUGCUUGUGAUAUUGCCAAGCUCUUCAUCCGUGCACCGAGGAUACUUUGUGCCAAACCAGGGCGUGUCCUGACGAUGGUUGCGCGCGCCGAAGGUAUAGGUGUGCCUCGUGGCUCUGGAAUGUUCAGGCAAGCGCUGCACGCCGUCUCAUACUUCAGCCAGCACAAGAUCGCUGCCAAACUGGACUACCUGAAGAAGACACUUAGGUGGUCAGAUACCGAGGUCCGCAUUGCCGUGUCCAAGGCUCCGGUGCUGCUGAAAAGGUCACAGGAUGUGCUGCAGCGUAUGUCAGAGUUCCUGAUCUGUGAGGCGGGGUUGGAGCCGGCCUACCUUGCUCGUCACCCCACUAUGCUCACUUACAGCCUGGAGGGCCGGCUCAGGCCCCGGUACUAUGUUAUGAGGUUUCUUAAGGAAAAUGGAUUGCUAAGUCAUGGCAGAGACUACUAUACUAUGGUCUCGAUCAGCGAGAAGUUAUUUGUGGAGAAGUUCAUAUGCCCUCACAAUCAAGCUGCACCACAUCUUGCUGAAGACUAUGCAGCCGCUUGCGUAGGGGAGGUGCCCGCUAGAUUCAGAUUUACAUGA
rnacentral:rRNA from 1 species